rnacentral:lncRNA from 1 species
AGGUAUGAGUAUUGUAUAAUGAAGAUCCAGGAUACUGCAAAGCCAAUUAAACACAAAGGACAUAACUUUCACCUCAGGAGAUGCACACGUGCCCACAAAACCCGCCACUGAGCUGCCUCUUUCUCUAUGUCUACAUUUCAGACCAUCUCUAAAACAUUCGUGGGCAGCUCAUAAUUCUUGCCAAAUCCAUAUUUAACCUUCUGCAGCCACAUUAGUGGACAUGGCUUCAG